rnacentral:piRNA from 1 species
UUAUGGCUCCCCUGAGUGCUAGUUGGAUA